UUGAACGCUGGCGGCAUGCCUUACACAUGCAAGUCGAACGGUAGAGGGGCAACCCUUGAGAGUGGCGAACGGGUGAGUAAUGCAUCGGAACGUGCCCAGUCGUGGGGGAUAACGCAGCGAAAGCUGUGCUAAUACCGCAUGUGAUCUGUGGAUGAAAGCAGGGGACCGCAAGGCCUUGUGCGAUUGGAGCGGCCGAUGUCAGAUUAGCUAGUUGGUAGGGUAAAAAGCCUA
rnacentral:rRNA from 1 species